rnacentral:snRNA from 1 species
UCUACAUCACUAUUGAAAUAA